rnacentral:rRNA from 1 species
UCGAGAAUCUUCGGCAAUGGGCGCAAGCCUGACCGAGCGACGCCGCGUGUGGGAUGAAGGCCCUUGGGUUGUAAACCACUGUCAGAGGGGAUGAAGUGCCGGAGAGCAAUCUCUCCGGUUUGACAUAGCCUCAGAGGAAGCACGGGCUAAGUUCGUGCCAGCAGCCGCGGUAAUACGAACUGUGCAAACGUUAUUCGGAUUCACUGGGCUUACAGGGUGCGUAGGCGGCCUGUUAAGUAGGGUGUGAAAGCCCCCGGCUCAACCGGGGAAUGGCGCCCUAAACUGGCGGGCUGGAGUGAGAUAAGGGUGUGUGGAACUUCCGGUGGAGCGGUGAAAUGUGUUGAUAUCGGAAGGAACGCCGGUGGCGAAAGCGACACACUGGGUCUCAACUGACGCUGAGGCACGAAAGCCAGGGGAGCGAACGGGAUUAGAUACCCCGGUAGUCCUGGCUGUAAACGAUGAGCACUAGCUGGGA